CCACAUAUCAUUAAUCAAUUUCAUCAUAUCACAAACCAUAGGAAGUUCCGAUAAGUUACCAAGUCCCGGUAACCCAUACCCUUCGGCCUACCAAGAUGCAAGGCUAAACUCUAAACAACUUAAUAGGUUGAGGCCAGCCCAUACUUAGCACAUGUGGUUUGUACUGUUUUCAUUAGUUGGUGACAUAGAGUGGGGUCCUUAAUCGACCCGGGCGAACGCUCCCCCUAUCGGUGUACAACUACCACCAUAUGUACACCACUCGCCGCCCAAGUCUAAAAACAAGUUAUCUCCAUUUUCAGUUCACAAUACUCACACAUUUAAAUUUCUGUCCAGCAACAUCAAAAUAACCAUUUUCACAUAUAACAUUUAUCAAAACGAGUAAUUUGCAAGGCGGUAACCGAAUAUAAGCAUAUAGCGGCAAUAUAAGCAUAGUAUAAUCCCAAAGAACACAAUAAUUGUAUUCAAAAGCACUCUAUGGUUACAACCAGCAAGGAUUCAAUAUUUCAAGGUGGAUUAUGCAGCAAUUAGGUCAUAUCUACCAUUCCCACAUUUAUAUAUUUUUUUACCAAAAGUAAUACUAGGUAACGUAUGCAUGUUGGUUCGGUGGUGAGGAACGGCGGCCGGAGCGGCGUCGGCGGUUCGGGUGGCCGGCGGCGAGGAUGGUGACACCCACCACGUGCUCGACAGAUUGGUCCUAGGGCAAAAGGGGUAUGGGUGAGCUCGGCGUGAUGCGUAGGUCACGUUCCAUAGGAGGGAAGAGAGAGGGACUCACCGGGGAUGCACGGCGACUACGGCUAAUUUGCCGGAGCCGGGUAAGACGGCCGAGCUCUGGGCAUUCUGUGUGUGGGGUGUGUUUUCUUGGACUUGGAACGCGAUGUGGGGAGUGUGCCGUUGCUUCUGGUGCUUUGGCUUGGGAUAUAAGGAAGAGUGGAGUGGGGGAGUGAGAGAGAGAGGUGGCUGGUGCUUUCAUUGUGUUCCUUGAGCAUCCAUUGGGCAUGGGGGGACGGUGGAUGCAGUGAGGGGAGAGUGGGAGGCUGUCAUGUGGAUCCCAGAGGGUGUGGGGCCCACUGUCAGUGAAAGAAAUUCGAAAAUAGCCUUGGAGGCUAAGUCAAAGAGGGUUGCCUGCCAAGGAUCUUUGGAGGGGAUUCAAGGUGGAUUUUGUGCAGCAAGAAAUCUGGGCUAGAUAUCCUCUUGGUCAGGGGUGAUGUGGAGAGUAAAUGUGCUGAAGUGGAUUGGGUUAGAAGUCUCUGGUUUAGGUUUGAUGGAGUGAUGAACAUGUAUUGACAGUGUUGGUUAGCAGCAGUUGACAGUGCAGUUAGCAGCUGAUUGGAUUUUUGGAGGGAGAGAAGAAAGGGUUAGAGAGUGAUCCAGGGUGUGCCACUCCUCAGGAUGCUAGAAGAAAGUUAGUAGAAGACUUUGGCUGAAACCAAACUUCAAAAAGAGGUUUUGAAAUAAAUUUUACAGAGAGAGCAAGUUUGAAUCUGCUAAGCAGUUCUUUUCAUGAUUUUUGGAGAGAUUAAAGGAGAUCAACAAGUUAGCAAUCCUUACUGAAAAACUCUGAAAAUUUGUGGGUUGAUUUCUGACAUAUCAAUGUAUUUUUGAGAAUUUUUGUGGAAGUUUUGGAUGCAUAUAAUUACCAGAUUAAUUAUUUUUGUGACUCUAGGCCUAUCAAGAUGCAUGUGAUGAGAUGAUUAAGAUCCAAAAACAAUUAAAAUCACUCCACAACCACAUGAUGCAUUUAAAUUAAAUUUAGUUCUCAGGUUUACAGGCUUGGGUAUGUUACAAACCUACCCCCCUUAAACAAAAUCUCGACCCCGAGAUUUGAUAGGAUCUAGGAGAAGAAACUAGGAAAAUCGGCUCUAAGGCGGUCUUCCCUUUCCCAUGUUGCUUCUUCGGGAGUGUGGUUGCUCCACUGGAUUUUGAGCAUCUUGAUGGAGCGGCUUCGCAUGUGUCGCUCGGCUUCCUCUAGAAUGCGGAUUGGAUACUCUUGGUAGGAGAGGUCGGGUUGGAUAUUGAUGUCUUCUAGCGGAGUGAGCUCCGUAGGAACUCGAAGGCACUUCUUGAGUUGCGAAACAUGGAACACAUCGUGCACAUCUGAGAGUUGAGAUGGCAGCUGCAACUUGUAAGCAACUUGACCCCUCUUGGCAAGAACUCGAUAUGGACCAAUGUAUCGAGGCGCCAAUUUUCCAUGCACUUGAAAUCGGCGAGUGCCCCGCAACGGCGAGACCUUUAGAUAGACAUAGUCACCAACCUCAAAGCUUAAUUCGCGACGGCGACGGUCGGAAUAGCUCUUUUGGCGUGACUGUGCCUCCUUUAGCCGGUUUCUGAUGAGAGCGACGUUUUGCUCGGCUUCCUUGAUAACGGCAGGACCAAAGAGUUGUCUUUCUCCCACCUCUGACCAGAAGAGUGGGGUUCUACACUUUCUUCCAUACAAAGCCUCAAAGGGUGACAUUUGGAGGCUAGCUUGGUAACUGUUGUUGUAUGAGAAUUCGGCAAAGGACAGACAUUUCUCCCAAUUGGUGUUGUAACUGAGGACACAAGAUCUGAGCAUAUCUUCCAAGAUCUGAUUGGUGCGCUCAGUCUGACCUCCAGUCUGUGGGUGAAAAGCUGUGCUAAAGAACAAUUGAGUACCAAGGAGCUCAUGAAGAUUCUCCCAAAACCGGGAAGUGAACUGGGGACCACGGUCUGAUACAAUGGCCUUCGGUACCCCAUGCAAGCGAACGAUGUGAGUCAAAUAGAGCUUUGCCAGCUUUGCACCAUUGUAGGAGACAUUCACCGGAAUGAAAUGGGCAACCUUGGUCAAGCGGUCAACGAUGACCCAUAUGGAAUCAUGUCCAUUAGAAGUCUUGGGAAGACCUGUUAUGAAAUCCAUUCCAACUUCAUUGAACUUCCACUCAGGAAUUUGCAAGGGUUGAAGCAAACCUGCAGGACGCUGGUGCUCAGCCUUGACACGCUGACACACAUCACAAAUAGCAACAUAUGCAGCAAUAUCACGUCUCAUGGUAGGCCACCAAUAAAGAGAGCGGAUAUCUUGGUACAUCUUAGUGCAACCUGGAUGGAUGGACAUGGGAGACUCGUGUGCCUCUGUAAGAAUAAGCUCCCGAAGAUGUUGAGUGUCGGGGACAAACAAUUGCUUCCCAUGAACAACAACACCAUCAUCAUCCAAGGAAAAGAUAGUUGGCUUGCCACUUGCCAUUUCCUUUUUAAUUUCAGCUACCUCCUGGUUAGUGAGUUGAGCCUCUUUUAUCUGAGAAAGGAGGGUCGGUUGAAGUGCUAGGGCAGUAACAAAACCUUCUUCAACCACACCAAGAUUGAGCUUCUGAAAUUCCAGUAACAACUCUGGUUGUGUGACAAGUUCAGAAGCAGAAAUGUGGUUAAGUUUCCAGCUGAGUGCAUCGGCUACAACAUUGGCUUUACCGGGAUGGUAAUGGAUGCCGAGAUCGUAGUCUUUGAUGAGUUCCAACCAUCUUCUUUGCCUUAGGUUCAGAUCUGGUUGGGUGAAGAAAUACUUCAAACUUUUGUGGUCGGUAUAGAUUUCGCAUCUUUUACCGAUAAGGUAGUGGCGCCAGAUCUUCAAGGCAUGAACCACGGCUGCCAAUUCCAAGUCAUGGGUCGGAUAAUUGAGUUCAUGAGGGCGCAGCUGACGUGAAGCAUAGGCCACAACCUUUCUUUCUUGCAUCAAUACACACCCGAGGCCAUUUUGAGAUGCGUCACAAUAGACAUCGAAAUUCUUGUGGAUAUCGGGCAUUAUAAGCACUGGGGCCGUUGUGAGCCUUUUCUUUAACUCUUGGAAACUUGCCUCGCAUACCUCUGACCAUACAAACUUGUUCUCCUUCUUGAGAAGUUGGGUCAGCGGUCUAGCAAUCUUAGAGAAAUUCCCAAUGAACCGGCGGUAAUAACCGGCUAAGCCAAGAAAAGCUCGAACCUCUGUCACGGUCUUGGGCUGUUCCCAGUUAAGCACACUUUCCACUUUGCUUGGAUCAACUGCGAUACCACCCCCGGAUAUCACAUGACCGAGAAAGGCCACUUCAUUCAUCCAAAACUCGCAUUUGUUGAAUUUUGCAUAGAGUUGAUGCUCACGAAGUUUGUCAAGCACUAGCCUUAGAUGUUGUGCGUGUUCUUCCUCAUUCUUCGAGAAAACGAGGAUGUCAUCAAUGAACACCACCACAAAUUUGUCCAAGUACUCCAUGAAAACCUUGUUCAUCAAGUUCAUAAAAGUGGCAGGAGCAUUGGUUAAGCCGAAAGAAACUACGGUGUAUUCAAACAAACCAUAGCGGGUUCUGAAAGCUGUUUUCGGAAUAUCCUCCGGUCUGAUCUUGAGUUGAAAAUAUCCAGACCUCAAAUCAAUCUUGGAGAAUACUUGCGCACCGGUCAUUUGGUCAAAGAGAUCAUCGAUGCGGGGGAGUGGAUACUUGUUCUUGAUUGUCACCUCAUUUAGUGGACGGUAGUCAACACACAGCCGAAGCGUACCAUCACUUUUUGGAGCAAAAAGAACGGGACAGCCCCAAGGAGAGCUGCUGUGUCGAAUGAAACCCUUCUCCAGUUGCUCAUCAAUUUGCUUCUUGAGCUCAACCAAUUCAUCACUGGUCAUACGGUAGGGUUGCUUAGCGACAGGCGUCGCACCAGGAACAAGAUCAAUCACGAACUCAAUGUCACGAUCGGGUGGCAUUCCUGGUAGCUCAUCAGGGAAGACAUCAGGAUAUUCACACACCACGGGUAUUGAUUCAAGCUCAGGUUUGAUGAGAGAGUUGAUACAUGGCUGUUUUGAGGUGGUGGCUUUAUUGGAAGUGAAGGUGGCUGUUUUCCCAUUGGUGUUGACAAAAGAGAUGGUUUUAGAAGCACAGUUGAUAUUCCCCUUGUGUUUGGAAAGCCAAUCCAUGCCUAGGAUGACAUCUAAACUUAAGGAACUCACUUGGAUUAGGUCGGCUUUGAACUCUACCUUAUCAAUGAGAAUAGGCACAUCCUUGCAUAUUGUUCUGGUUUUGAAGGUUGACCCAGGAGAUUGGAUUAUCAUGGGGGUGUCUAAAAGGGUGGUGGCUAUGUUGUUUUGUUUUGCUACUUUGGUGGAUAUAAAGGAAUGAGAUGCACCAGAAUCAAAUAACACCAAACAGGAACUGAGUGAACAAGAAAGGUACCUAGCACCACAUCGGGUGCGUCAACAGCCUCCUCUGCGGUCGCGUGGUUGAGACGACCGCGCCCAAAGUUCUGAGCCGGCUUGGGAGCGGCUCGGCCCCCACGUGGAGCAGCAGCAGGGGCGCCACGGCCCUGUGGAGGACGGGGCUGCGGUGCUGCGGGGCGCGGCGGAGGAGCACCGGUGCGACGCGGGUAAGGACAGUUGUUGGAGUAGUGUCCCAACUUCCCGCAGUUGAAGCAGUUAACAUUUGCAGCACGGUUGUAGCCUCCGGGCUGCGGUGCACCACGGUUGGCCUGCGGUGGCAUAGCGGCAGGCAGACGUGGAGCGGCGUACUGGAGCCUCUGCGGUGGAGCAGAAGCAGGACGUGCAGCUGGAGCAGGCUGCCAAGUGCGUGGGCGACUCGAACGGCUGACAGUAGCCCUGCGCGCCAAGAACUUGCGCUUGCGGUCCACAGCUACUUCCUUCUCACUUGCCUCCCAGCGGAGGGCCUUGUCAACAAGGGUCUUCAUACUGUCGAUCUCAUGGGUAGAGAGACCGUGCUUCAACUCAGGGCUAAGGCGAUCAAGGCAAAGUUGCACCUUCCUCGCCUCAGUAGUGCCUAGCUCAUCAGUCGCAUACCGUGCAAGGUAGUUGAAGCGACUAAGGAACUCCAUGAAAGGCAAGUCCCCCUGGGUGAGAUUGAGGAACUCCUUCCUCUUGGCCUUCAUAAGCCCUUCUGGGACGUGAGCAGUGCGGAAGCCCUGCUUGAACACGUUCCAGGUGAUGGCGGUGCCCUGGGGGAGUGUAGACUUGUAAGUCUCCCACCAGGCAGCUGCAGCGCCCUGAAGGUAGUAGGCGGCGUAGGUCGCCUUCUCCUCAUCGUCACAACGGACGAAGUUAAGCUUGUUCUCGAUAUCGCGGAGCCAGUCAUCCGCGUCGAGAGGAUCAGCAGCAGCAGAGAACACAGGUGGCUGUGUACGCUGCACUUCCGCCAGCUUAGACUGUGGCUGACGGUUGUUCUGGAGGAGAGCAUUGCCCAAGGCCUCCUGAGUCGCGACCAAGCGGUCGAAGAGCUGACUCUGCGCCGCGAGAAUCUGAGCCAAAGUGGGAUCCAUCGCGCCGGUUGGACGGCUACCACUCGCUCCCGAAUUCCGAGUGGGAGGUGGUGGAAGCUGCGAGUUGUGGUGGUUGUUGUUUUGGUUUCUUGCUGAGUCUGCCGUUUUAUUGCUCCUAGAGCGGGUAACGGGCAUUCUGUACACAAAACACGGAAGUGGAAAAGGUUCUUGAGAUUGAUAGACAUGGCAUGAUUCAAGUUGAAAGGAAGGACAGAAAUAUAGUAGUGCUUAAAGGAAUUGCAAUAAGUUAACUCAAUCCAAAAGUACGGAAAGGUAUAGACACUUAAAAGCAUGUAUUUAAGCAGUAAUUUAACUUUGAUAACAACAAAUCAUCACAGUUAGAAUUUCUGGACAGCAAGCAUGGAUACUCGAAAAUGGUUCAUAAACACGCUUAUCAUGCGCCAUUCAUUCCAUUAAAGGUUCCAUACAAAAGAGCUUACAUAAAUAGCCACCAAAACACGUUUACAAAACGCGCACACAUCCAAAAUGUGGCUAAGGGGAGUACAUCAGAGGUCAUCCUACAUCUCAUGCUAAAGAAACUAUCUAAGUCACCUAGCUAGAACAAGCCUAGGUGCUGUCAGAAGGUCCGGGAGAACCCGAAGAGCUAGAAGUCAUCUCCGCAUCAUCAUCAAGAGGCGGAGGUGCCUGCAUCACCAAACGGUAACAGCUCCCGCGGUAAUAUCGGAUGUGGUUUGGCCCCUCAACAAGGAGGCCAGAAGGGGGUGGAAUAUCAGCAACAACCCGGUGACUACCACCAUGCCCUUUGACAGUAGGAGAUGGUGUAAUCAGCUUGUAGUAACCUGAUGGAGGGGGCAGCUCCUCCUCCGCUGGUAGCAUGGCGUCUUCGCCGUACACGACCUCGGGUGGGAUGGCCCAAAUCCCAGCUCGGGGUUCCACCUCACGGUCGAGAAUAGCGAUGCGCCGCCUCGCUCGAUGGAGCUCAUGCAUCAGAUCCUCGAUGAUCCUCUCCUGGGACCUAACGAAGUAGCCCAAACGGAGGUGAGGGGAGGGCGGUUCCCCUUGAGCAGAUUCCAGACCAGGGUAGGUGGCAAAGCGACUAGCACCCGGCCUAGAGGGAACAAAGCGGUAAUCCACAGCGCACUUCGGGCUCGUGUCACGGAGAAAGCCGGUAGCGCUGUAGGCAGCAUCAUUCAUAGCUCCCACGGCAGUCCACCCAGUGCCGUACACAAUAUCGUGGUGUCUGUCGUUGCCCCUCGAUGGAAGGACCAGCUCAACCUGAUAGCUCCUUUGAGAGGCGCUAUAGUUUCGCGUGAAGACAGUGUACUGGGGUUGCCGAGUAUAGCCGGCGUGCUGCAUCAUUUCCCAGAGUGUUUGCUGCAUGGUGCCAGCCACGAAGCCUCCGGAAUAGUAAGAGGGUUCCAAGGGAGCCAUCUACAAGAUUAGGACAAGAUUACCUAGAUUAGAAACCUUAAGUGAAAGGGAGGAUCAAGGAAGAACAAGAAGACUUAGUUUUCAGGUUCUGGACAGGAGCAAACCACAGCAACAACAGGGGUAAAAAGCCUAUUUAGGUGGCUGCUAAAAAGGAAAUUUUUGCACAACUAAGUUUCUGUAUAGGUUAUCUACCCCCCUCAAAAUUUUAGGAAUUUUUAAGCAAGUUUUAAGACCUACAAGAAAUUUUAAAGCUAAAGGGUGCAGUUCUGUUUUUCCAGGGUUCAGUGGGUGGCUCGAAUUUUUAGACCAUGCAAAACUGAAGAUAAAAUCACACAAAAAUUCAAGCAACAUCCUACAGGGGUCUUCUAACAACUGGCCAAGCUUCAUAAUUUUUCCACCUACGGUCUAUCCUGUACAAAAAGAUUAAGACUGCCGACUGCAGUCCCUGACAGAUAACCGUUAGUUGCUAAAUAAUUUACUAAGCCAUGUUUUAGUUGCCAAAAAUUAUCAAAAUUUUUCUACAUGAAGCUAAGUUGAUACUAAGCUAAUCUGGUUCAGGGGUGAGUACUGUUGAAAGCUACAGAAAGCAAACAAAAUCCUAGAUACCCAUCCUGCCCCAUCCUACCCAUGCUAGGCCAAGACGUUUUUUUUUUUAUUCCGGCAUUUAGAAUUUUUAGUGAGGGUUCAUUGCUGAACCUGAGACGACCUACCCAGCAUCUCAUCCUAGAAGUUCUAGCAAAAUUUUAUUUGCUCAAGUCAUUCAAAAACCUAUGCUUAACUAGUUAACCUAAGCAUUUUUGGCAAAAACAAACGUCUCUCAUGGGAAGGUUUUGCAUAAGCUUUUCUUUUCAGUUUCUAAUUUAGUUGGCACUCAUUUUAAGUUGAUUAUAUUGAAUGAGAGCUAUAUUUGCAGAUGGCAGCAUAUAUAUAUGAGAUUUCCGUAGCCUAUAGGAUCAAGAGGAGAGAAAACCGUUUUUCAAAAUAAAGUAUCACCUAGAAGGAGUUGGAAUUCUAGAAAUAGGGUUUCACAAAUAAUUUUUUUUCCAAGAUAGUUUUGAGAAUACCAUUCUACGACUAUUCCUUCCAGGGAUUUCCUACAGUCGGUCACGGCUCUGAUACCAAAGCUGUAAGGACGUCCCAAAGCCUAGGUGGUGCAACGCUCCAAGGCAUGUCAGCGCGAAAUAUCUGGAUGGAUGGGGUCUCAAAUAAAGCCCAAAUAAAUACAGUAACCAUCCAACCUCAUCGCAGACCCCGACAUGUCUUGAAGGGUGCACUACAUAGGCUCUAAGCCAUCGGAUAUGAAAUAGAAGACAACCGUUGGAAUAGCCACACCAGUCAUCUACGUCAUACGCCCGUCAACCACUCGAUGGUGGAGACUAAAAGCAUACCCCAGAGACUCGAUCUCAACAAAGGCAUAUUCCCCGGUUAUCUCAACCAUUUCAAACCCAUCCUCAUGUGGGACUAGUUGUCCAGGAAUGCAACAUAGCCUCACAUAAAUCAUCUCAAGCAUGAUAUCCAAAUAAUAAGUGGUUCUAAGCAAUAAGCAUAAAUAAUCUUAAUAAGGUUCUAAGUAGUACUUGGCGACAAGCCAUAAAUAUUGGUUCAUGCGGUAAGCGUGCUACCCAAAAGCCCAUAGGCAAACCGACUAGGGUAAAUCCCUAGUUAGAACCAUCCUGGAAAUCUGCAACAUCACAAGCUGCAUCAAACUCCUCAUCCAAACAGUCAUUACCUGCAGCGGGGUCUGAGCAUAAACAAGUAAAAGAAAGCAAGAAAUCAGUACAUUAAUCAAAUUAAUGUACUGGCAAGUCGGAAGCAAUCCUAGCAUUCUACAUGUUGGCCAUAUUCAAGGAUAAGCUGUGUAUAGGUUAAUUUACAUAAAUGCCAAUUUUAGUUCACAACAUGUUUCGCAACGGAAUUUUAUAACAAUAGUAUAGAGUAAGUAAAACUUGUAAUGUAAAUGGAUAAAUAACACACAUCUACCCCUCAAGGUAGAUCAUCACCACUUUCCAUCAUCUCAUCACCAUUCACCGAACUUUACCCAAGUUCACAAACAAAACAUUCCAACCAUUUUCCAAGUUCACAAGAGUUUAUCAAAAUCACAAAUUAUACUCAUGACACUUCACCAUGCCGCUCAUGACCGUGAGCACGGCUAAUCGAUUAGUUUUAGACUCUGCAGAGUUUGUACAACUUUUAAGCCCACAUGAUAUGGAUCGCUCUAGUUUUUCCGAUACCCGUCGGUAUCACCACACUCUACACAUUGAGUGUGAUCUAGAGGUCAUAACGGAACCGUUACAUUGUUUAUUGUCUAGCCUUGCACUAGCACGAUGUGUGUUUUACCCACGCUACUAGCAAGGUAGCGCCACUAGGUAGCGGGCCCACGCUUUAACCUAGCGCCGUAAGGAACCCAGGCCCGGAAUCCCUCACGAGGCACGACACCGUUGUAUUGGAUAGACUACCCGCUAAAAUCAUCACAUACCACAUAUCAUUAAUCAAUUUCAUCAUAUCACAAACCAUAGGAAGUUCCGAUAAGUUACCAAGUCCCGGUAACCCAUACCCUUCGGCCUACCAAGAUGCAAGGCUAAACUCUAAACAACUUAAUAGGUUGAGGCCAGCCCAUACUUAGCACAUGUGGUUUGUACUGUUUUCAUUAGUUGGUGACAUAGAGUGGGGUCCUUAAUCGACCCGGGCGAACGCUCCCCCUAUCGGUGUACAACUACCACCAUAUGUACACUACUCGCCGCCCAAGUCUAAAAACAAGUUAUCUCCAUUUUCAGUUCACAAUACUCACACAUUUAAAUUUCUGUCCAGCAACAUCAAAAUAACCAUUUUCACAUAUAACAUUUAUCAAAACGAGUAAUUUGCAAGGCGGUAACCGAAUAUAAGCAUAUAGCGGCAAUAUAAGCAUAGUAUAAUCCCAAAGAACACAAUAAUUGUAUUCAAAAGCACUCUAUGGUUACAACCAGCAAGGAUUCAAUAUUUCAAGGUGGAUUAUGCAGCAAUUAGGUCAUAUCUACCAUUCCCACAUUUAUAUAUUUUUUAACCAAAAGUAAUACUAGGUAACGUAUGCAUGUUUGCAAUAGAAUCAUUUAGCCCAAUAAAAC
rnacentral:lncRNA from 1 species